UGGUGGUGCGUGCCUGUAAUCACAGCUACUUGGGAGGCUGAGGUAGGAGAAUCACUCUCCGAGAGGUGGAGGUUGCAGUGAGCUGAGAUUACACCACUACACUUCAGCCUGGGCGACAGAACAAGACUCUGUCUCAAAAAAAUAAAUAAAAUGAAAUAGAAAAAGAAAAAAAGUGCCAAGUGUGAUGGGAGAGGCCCCACCCUGGUUUAUGGAAAGUCACAAGAAAAUCCAGAAAAGAGAAUUCCUUUCUCUGGGCUUUCUUGGAGCAUCUGGAAUCUGGUUCUCAGGUCUAGAUCCACGAGGACCUAAACCCAGUGCCUCCUAAUUCAGGAAGCUGUCCAGGACUGCCCAUCCCCGCUGCUAACCUAGGCCACUCCUUCUGGCCCUGCCCUGACGACAGGGAACUGAAGUGUGUAUCCUGUGAUGGCUUGUCCAUUCUCGGCCAGUCCUCCAGGAAACAGCUGGACAGCCAGGACUCUGGAUGUUCAGAAGGUGGGAAGGGGCUGAAUGAAUGAGUUCAUACUUUGCCCACGCACCGUUCUACACACUGGGAAUCUAGUCGGAAGAAAAACGAAGAUCCUGCUCCCACAAAACUUAACACAGGGAUGGAUCCUUCCAGCUCUGCCCAGUCUUACAUGCCAACUCUGCCCUCUAAGUACACGGCAGAGAGGGACAGGCUCUCUGAAUCCUUGCACUUGAAAUCGCCUUUGCAAAAAUUGUAUAACAGGAAAUUAUGACAGUGAAAAGAGAUCAGACCUAACCGACUCCAUUGUGCUUCUAACCUUUACGCCAUCCUUGCUUAUUCCUAGGUAUAGGCCAAACUAACCUUGGGAAGCGAUUUAGCUUAUAGUUUGACUCUGGAACAAAAUUGGUAAUAGCCCUUUCCCGAAAAGAUCCUCUUCUUGCCUGGGGACCAGUCUGCCUUUGUAGGACUAACAAAUAAGCUACAAGAUUAGAAAUUACCAUUUAGGGGUCAUACAGCCUCUGGCUGCAAGAGUCUGAAACUCCCCAAAUUGCUCCUUGGGAUAACAUCACUAUUAUAAAAUCUAAGAUCAGUGCUUGAGAUAUUUUGCAGACCCUGUACUUGACGGAUCAGCUGACACUACCCAGACCAGUAAUCUGGCUCAACCAGUCCUGCGAUCCCACCCAGGAACAGAAGACAGCAAGAAAACUUCACUUCAACACUCCUGUCGAUGACUCCAUCUCCAACCUCAGGAAGCUCCAACCAAUCAGCACCCCCCACUUCCUGAGCCCCUACCCGCCAAAUUAUCUUUAAAAACUCGGAUCCCCUAAUGCUCAGCGGACACUGAUUUGAGCAAUAAUAAAACUCCGGUCUCCUGCAUAGCUGGCUCUGUGUGAAAUACUCUUUCUCCAUUGCAAUUCCCCCCGUCUUGAUAAAUCUGUCUAGGAAGCAGGCAAGGUGAACCCAUUGGGUGGUUACACACCGACCAGCCAGAUUUAGGAAGAGUUCUCACUAAUCCACAGUUCUGAUGCAGCCACCCCUGGGGGACCCUCCUGGUUACUGAAUCUCCCACUGUCUCACAGAGUCUGGAAGUCACAUCCCCAACAAGGGCCUUGGUUUCUCUCAUUGAAAAAAGAAGGCCCAGAUGAUGAUCGGCCAGGAAACUCCCAGCUCUGAAUUCCUUUUCCGAUCUGCACACUGGGGGACACGGGCACUUUCUAGCCCAGAUCCAGAACUUCCAGAAUCAUAAACAAUGUGGCCCUGCAGAGACCUGGGCCGCAAUUUUUCCUUCUUUGUACUGGGAGGAUGUACUUUGUCCACCCCUAGCUCAAAACGCCCCCUUCCGCUGGAAUGACAUGCUAUGUGACCCAAGGAGAAACACCACACCCCGGCACCAGGCCUGCUUUUCAGCCAGAAACCAAGAGGCCUAGGAGGCUGUGCUGCUAGCAUCUUGCAAGCUCUGAAAUUCCUAAAACUAAGUUUCACAACUCAGACUGGCCCCCUACUUCCCAGCACUCUAGUUUUCAAUCAGGGAGGUCAGACUGGGCCCGAAGCGUAAGGGACCCCUUCCCUGCCCAAAAACUCCCUGCUGCAUUUGGCGGAUCCCCACCUUUUUUUUUUACUUCAGUUUCCCCACCUGCAAACUGGGAAAACUAACUAAGGCGAGGCCACUGUACUGUGGAUACAAGUCCGUGCAACCCUAAAUCCCAGACGAACGUGGUAGAGCCAUCCGCAGUCUCCGGCCUCAGUUUCCCAGCCUCGUGCCGGGGGGCGGGACUCGAGGCUCGGACCUUACGUUCGCCCGGCGCCAACCAAGCCCACAGCGCCCGCCCGCAGGGAUCCCAACGACUGCUGUUCCCGCCUCCCGGUGAGACCCCGCAGUUGCCCUGCCCUCACCAUGGUGCCGGCGGGGACCGAGCUCGCCGGCCACUUCCGCCGCCGCCGCUGCACACGCUCCCGGCGGCCGUCGCCGCGCCGCGCGCCACUAAGCUGAAAGAAAGUGGCAGAGACGCAAGCCAGUCAGCACCGGGCUCGAAGGGCGGUCAACCAAUCCACGCGGAGUAGGGCGGGGCCCGCUGGGCGAAAGGGCGGGGCGGGCCGUGUUCCCGCCCGAGGAACGAAGACGAGAGCCGUAAAGUGCCGCGGCUUGUAAUGCAAAAGGAGGCGGAGCAACGCGCGCCGGCGCGGGGUGCAUUGUGGGGAAACGCGUGCGCAGGUGAAACCUUCGUCGGUCUCCUGGGCUCCACGCUGUGGGCAAAGCCAGUUAAUACCUUUUGUUUGCAGUAGAGAGAGGGAAAUCGAGGCUGCCUGCUUCUGCUCACAGAAAUGAACAAAACACAAAAUUCGUGGCCCUCAGGGAGACAGACAGUAAACAAAGUAAAUAGGCGAAUGCUAUUAGUUUCCUGGGGCCUGCUGUAACAAAUGCCCACACACUGCGAGGUUUAAAACAACAGAACGUGAUUUUCUCACAAUUCAAGAGAUCAGAAUAAUGAAGUGAGGUUGUCAGCACGGUUGGCUCCCUCUGGAGGCUCUGAGGACAAUCU
rnacentral:lncRNA from 1 species